CUUUCAUCACCAUCUGGAGGACAAGAGCUUGAGGAGAAACAGAAGGCAAAGUGUCGCCUCUGAGAGGCUGGGCUCUCUCCCUGGUGCAUGCUGGGAGAACGUGCUGCGGCCUCCUUGCCUCUGACCUAGGCUACUGGCUGAAGACUUGCAGCCCAGCUGGACUGAUAAGGAAACUGAGGCCACAGAGCAGGUCACAGAUACAAGAAAUCUGUCUACUCCAAGAAGAUGUGCCAGGUGUAUGGGAAGAUGAACAACAAUGGCGCCUGAGACCACACAUGGUGGCACAUGGAUGAGCCAAGUGUGGUCAUGCAUAUGUGUAGACCCAGCAUUCGGGAAGCUGAGGCAGGAGGAUCUUGAGUUCAAAGCCAGCCUGGACAACACAGAGAGACCCUGUCUCAAAAAAAGGGGAGGUCUAUUCCGGCCCCUGUCUGACAGUGCAAUGGAGACUUGCCUCUGUGAUGUGAUCUUGUCCUUGUACUUCCUGCCAAGAAUUGGAAUUCGUUGGUGUGGAGCUCUUUUUCCCUGGAAAGGACCAGAACCAGGGCUUGCUUUAUUUCUUUUAUUGUCUUACUAUUCAGUCUUAAUUUUGAUCCUUUGCAAGUAGAAGAUAAUCUAUAUUCUUCUGGGUGUGAAAAAGUAAGAUGAAUAAUGAGAGUGACUAGGUCGGAAUCAAUCCUUCUAUUCAUAUACGGAGCAAAUUUUUUAUAGCAAAACAUUUAUUGGUACAUUUUAGACAUCCAUAAUGAUAACACUCAUCAUAGGUACACAGCAAAUAUUCAGUGAGCACCUAUUUUGUGUCAGAUAAAUUGGCA
ensembl:lncRNA